rnacentral:lncRNA from 1 species
GUUUGUGAGUGCAUUGGAGAGCAUUUGGAACCUUGAUAAGUGCUUGGUGAAGAGAUCUUUGAAGAUUAAGAGGCUUGGAGCAACGGGAUUUACAAGGUUUUGGCUUAUUCUUCUGUUGGAGUCUUCUAUUGAGGUAAUGAUUCGUUGCUUGAGCUGUUAUCCAUCUAGAUCUAUCAUUUGUGGGAUUUUUGGGAGUAUAUCUAGUGCUAUCUUGAGUUUGGAGGUUGGAUCUGAGGUUGUUACCUCAGAUCUAGAGUAGUGAUGAUCCAAAAGAGCAUAAAGUCCCUGUUCAAGAGUUGUUGAUCAAGCCUUUUUGUCCCAAACCCUAUCCCUAGAGUGUAUUAUGCUUAGAUCUCCUUGGAUUCACGUAAAGUUUGCCACUUUACAUGAUGGAUGGCUUGUAUAAGAGUAGAUCUAUGGAUUGGAGACCCUGCAUGGCUUGGUGAAAGGCUUAGAAUAAUGGUUUGGUCUAGGUGUUGCAGUUAGUGAUAGGGGUACGUUUAUAAUUAGCUUUUUGUCAGUUUAUGGUUGUAAGUGAGUUUACGGCCAUAAACACCUUACGGACGUAAACUCCUCACGGUCUUGGGUGUCUAUAUAUAUAGGGUUGUGUCAGACGUAAUGUUGGUUGAUGCCUUUAGUAUUUUGCGGUUCCACCAAGUUGUAUUAGACGUUUACGGUUAUAAAACGUAUGCAAGCUUGGUUUGUUACUUCUUUGUUUAUUAUUUCGCUUUGUGUGAUUGUUAUGUGCUUUUGAUCACUGGAAAGAUCCGAUUUUGGACCUUAUAAUUGGUAUCAGAGCGAGACCGGCGUCAAAGGUAGUCUACAGUCGCUAUUUGGUGCUAGUUCACGUGUUUCAGAAAAGGGGAUUUAUUGUUACAUUAAAAAAUCAACGAUUCUGUGUUCUCGGUCCGAGAUUACGGCCGUAAACACUGUGUUCACGGCCGUAAACCAGUCAACUUCAUCAACCAUGAAGACUAGAUUCUUGGGCCGUAAACUUUAUUUGGUGCAAGUCAAUUAAUCUUGAAGACCGUAAUUUAACCACAUUAAAUUAAUUGAAAGUAAAAUAAAUUAAUUCCUUGAAUCUCUGUUAAAGUUUCUGAAACAAAAAAUCACUAAGUUCACGGCCGCAAACUGAUAGUUUACGGCCACAAACUAUUUCUCAGCCGCAAACUCUUUUUCUGCAAUAAAUGAUUUCUGGCAGUGAACUCCUUUUCAGCAGUAAAUUAAAUUUCUCUUAGCAAUUAAUUUUAAUUCACUUUUAUAUCUUAAUUAACUUUAACUUAAAAAUGGAAUCACAAAAUCAAAACCAUUUUCAAGAGCUCGAUGCUGUCAUGGGCACCACCACGCGAAUUCCAAGGCUUAUGUCUGCUGAUGGGUUCCCUGAGUGGAAAUAUAGAAUUGAGAAAUACAUAAAGAUGAAAGACUUCAAGAUUUGGAAAUGUGUCAUAAAGGAUCCAAUCAGAAUCACCACUACAGUUGGGGGGCAGGUGGUUGACAAGAAAAUUGAGAACUACACUAAUGAAGACUUUGAGAGUGUAGAAGAAUAGGAAAAGGCAUUGGCCAUUUUGACUAUGGCCCUAUCUCCAGACAUUGCUCAAGGGUUCAGAGAGUAUACUUCUGCUAAAGCACUGUGGGAAGCCCUUAUUGAGGUAUAUGAGGGAAAUGAAGACAUGCGAGAGAGUCGCCAAGAUAUGUUGAGGCAACGAUUCAACAUGUUUAACUAUGUGCCUGGAGAGACUCUUGAGGCUCAACUGCAGCGGUUCACCACUCUUAAUACGGAAAUGACUGUGGCAGGGAUCGUCUAUACAAAGUUAGAAAUAAAUAAGAAGCUGCUAAAUGCCCUCCCAAAAUCUUGGGACAUGAAUGUAGCGGUCAUUAAGAAGACUAAGGAUCUUAAUCGCCUUUCUCUAGCUGAAGUGAUGGCUGUCAUCAAAGCAUGUGAUAUUGAUGACAAGUAGCGAGAGAUCAAUCAUGUGAACUCCUACUCAGCUGCCAAUCUUGGCAUUUCAACUAACAAUGCUCUUUCUUCUUUCUUCUAUUCUUCUGCAGGUUUAUCUCUAAAUGCUUCUCCUCAAGCUCAGAUACUCUCCCAUCCUUCAGCUUCCUCUGCAUCAGUCAUGCCCUACCCACAAAAUCAAUCAUUCGUGUCUGCUCAAACUGCUUCAUCUUCAAAUGUGGCUUCUUUUUCAAAAGGAAAAGAGGGUGAUGAAAACCUUGUUUUGAAGCAGGGCUAGUUAAUUUCUACAAUGCACUUGUAGCCGGGGAGCUUCCACCUCAAUUGUUAUUUGCAGAUCUUGAUCAAAUUCAUCCUGAGGACGUUGAGGAGAUGGAUAUCACGUGGCAAAUUGCCAUGGCAGUCUUUAGGGCAAAACAAUUUGCCAAAAAGACAGGGAAGAAUAACUGGGGAAUGAAUGUUGAUAAGAAAGUUGGAUUUGUGAAGGGAAAGCUUCGAUGCUUCAAUUGACAUGAGCCAGGGCACUUUGCUCGUGAUUGCCCACAUCCUGAUAGAAGAGUUAAUAAUGACCGAACAAUGGUUGUAGUUGGGAACAGCCGAAGCAGUGGUCAAGCAAACAAUGAGAAGGCUAUGGUUGCGCAAUCUUUCGAUUGGGAUGAUCAGAUACAUGCUCUCAACUUAUCUGGACCAGAAAAUGCUCAUCUGGCACAGGUAAGGGGUGAUGCUCCAACAGAGAUUGUAGCAGCUGAAGACAGUGUGAUGGAACUACAGUUUGCUUUGAUGGUAUCCUCUUCUCAUGAACCUAAUUCAUCCAGGGUAAGUCUUCCAUCAUGUUCUCAGGCUUGCAUUGAUUAUGUAAAAGCUUUACAUGACAAAAUCGAGACGUUAGGCAAUGAAGUAGAAAAUCUUAGAAUUUUUCGUGAACUUAAUGAAAAAUUAAUAAGAGACGUAGAAGACCUUAGAUAUGAAGGGUACCAACUUCGAAAAGGACAAAACCACUAAAAGCUCAAUUGGAAUCGAAAAUUAAGGACUUUAGGAGACUCCAGGAAGACUACAGUAACAAAUGUGAAAACUAUGAUUAUGUGGCCAAACAAAAUGCUGAGCUAGUGGCUGAAGUUGAAUCUUUGAAAGGAAAGUUUGAAACUGCCAAACUUGAUGUUAGAAAAUAUGACUUCUCAAGUGAGGUGGUUGCAAAUAUGAUAGACCAAAGCAUGCAGUUUAAAAGGAAUCAAUCAAAAGGUCUAGGGUAUAAUCAUGUACCCCCUCCUUUCAAUCAUUCUUAUGUGCCCAAGCCUUUGUCCAAAGAAGAGAUUGCCAAUGAAUCAUUUAUGGUUUAUGGCAAGCCCUCCGGUUUUAUUUUGGGAGGAUUUAUUAAUGUUGAAAGUACUAAAAUUUCUACUUCUCCUGCAGAUCAAUCCUUGAAUCAGUCAAAGCACGAAGUUGAAGGAUGUGUUUCUGAAAAUAAAAUCGAGUCUAAACCUGAAGCUUUAGUUUUUAAUAAAGACAAUACGUUUUCUGAUAUUUCUAAAGACAAUGUUUUUUGUGAUGGUGUUUUUAUGACUUCUGAUACUGGUUUGAAUGUUUUGAAAAAGUCUGGUUUGAACAUUGUGGUUGACAAUUUUAAUGUUUGUGAUAAAGAUGUUGAAACACCACUAGUCUCACAACCCUCCCCAUCCAACGCACCCUCACUUUCCUCACAACCUAAUAAUGUUGAUUGUUCUUUUGAGAAAAGCAAGGGUGCAGGUAGGGAAAACAAAUCUGAUCAGUGUAGUACAAGCUAUAACAAUAAUAAGCAGAUUUGUUUUAAUUGCGGUACUAGUGGUCAUAUUGCUAGAAAUUGUCAAAAUCGUAUGUUUGUGAGUUAUAACCUUCCAAGAGGAGAGAAUGAGUUCAGAGGAAGGUCUUUAAAUAGAAACUCCUCUAGAAGUCGUUCACGAAAUGAUGAUUGGGCAGAUGAAUGGAAUAGAAAACAGGCUACUUUUCAAAGACAUAAAAGGUUUUUUAAUCACCAUGUCCCAGGCUGUCUGCCAAAAACGAGCACAGCCAAGCCAAGGUCAAGCUCCUAACAAAGCCACAGUGGGUCUUCAACCAACUCUGGUAGAAGUCACACAGGCGUUAAGCAGACUGAUAAACACUCCAUGACUAAAUCAACUGGGACAUUUAGGAAACCUAAUUAUAAAUGGCUACCCAAACCUACUCUCAAUACAUCAUUUGUGUCCUCAGAAAAACCUAAAUAUGAUAAAUCUGGAAAGGCAUCAGGAUCACCCAGGAAGGUCAUGACCUGGGUGCCCAAAUCUAAUUAAACCCGCACAUUUUGCAGGGACAGUUGCGGGGAAAUGUCGUGAGACCCUGGUUCGUCGACAACGGCUGUUACCGACAUAUGACGGGAGAUAUCACCCAACUGCACAACAUUCAAUCAUUUAAUGGGGGAUAUGUCUCUUUUGGGGGUGGAGAUGGUGGUAAAAUCACUCAAAGAGGAACCGUCUCAAAUGGAGUUUUAAGUUUCGAAAAUGUCAAUUUUGCUCCGCUAGAUGACUAAAUCAAACAACAACGAGGCCUUUCAUCUGUUUAUUACACACCAACUAUCUACCCAUGUUCUACCCAACAUAUUAGUAGAUAAAAAUAUACAUUUUUAUACAUAGUUUAAAAACCUGUAUAGCAUGCUUAAAUCAACACAUAAUCCACAUAACAGAUGAGGCGCACACACACAUAACACAUAUCUCGUAGAGAAUAAAUCAUAUCUAUGAGAUAGAAGAGAGUGAAUACACAUUCACACACAUAAACAACAAUAUUAUACACAUAACACGUAUUUCGUAUAAAAUACUUCAUAAUUAUGCGUUAGAAGAAAGUAACUACACACUCACACUUAUAAACAACAAUAUACUUAAUACACUCGAACCAAACUUGUAUUAUUAUCGUGUUUAUGAAAGGUAGUAUACACUCACUUGAUCAGAAGAUGAUCGGACAGCACUACGACUUGCAGAAGUAGUAAUCCUCAGCAGAUCUGGAAGAUCUCUUCAAAAAUCGAACUUCUCGCGGGCAGAGCUUCGGCUCGGGAACCGCACUUCUCGGGAUCUUCGGGAUCUCGGGACUUGCUUCGGGGCUUGAGAACAAUACCGGGGCUUCGGGGUAUUUCUGGCACGCAAACCGAUGCAAAAUGGGAGAAAGAAGAGGAGAAAUUGGCAAAACUAUCGGCUGCCUUCGGAUUCCUUUUAUAGAGGCUGAGCCUCGCACGUACGCGGGGCGUACGCCAGUACGCGGGGCGUACUGGUCCGAAAAACGUCACUGCGUUCGUCAUCCGAAGCCACUUGCUGCGAUGUCGACACUUUCGGAGUACGCGGGGCGUACUCGAGUACGCGGCGCGUACCUCGGAUCAGACCGGUGACUCCUUCGGAUAAUGCUUCCGAAUUAAAGAUUAAAAAUAAAUACAAAUUAUUUAAUAAUCUUCGGAAAUUCAUAUCUUCUUCAUACGAACUCCGUUUUCGACGUUCUUUAUAUCCACGCGAAGGUGAGACUACGCUCUACAACUUUCGUUUAGACUCCGUCGGCUAAUUUUGACUUUAUUUUUAUUAAUUAUUUUUAAUAGGCCGCGACAUAAACUUUCGUUAUAAAUUCAUAACUUCUUCGUUUGACGUCCGUUCUCGCCUAACUUUUUAUCGCUUCGAUACCAACAAUGAGAUCUUCGAUUCUCAUUUAGAUUGCUUCGGCUAAAUACCGCUCUAACGUAAAUUCACUUUUUACGUUGCAUUGCGUCGUGCCGGUUCUGUCGCGAAACUUCGACGGGCCAUAACUUCUUCGUUAUAACUCGGAUUUUGGCGUUCUUUAUAUGCACGGAAACCUUGUGACAUAUACUACAACUUGGUUAAGAUUAAUCCUUCUAGAUAAUCUUCCAUCAAAAAGUCAUUUUUGACGCUUAUUGUUUCUAAAUUGACUAGCCCUGAUCUACGGGCGUUACAAUUAUCUCCCCCUUAGGAUGAUUACGUCCCGGAAUCAUCAACGAAAUAGGAUUCGCAUACUGACUCCAUAAGUUAUCUUUCCAUUCUAAGUAAUAACCUUGAUGCUCAAUCCUGCAUCUGCUCUUCGUACUAUCUUGGACUUUCAAUCAUAACCUUCGAGUUACAAAAUAAGUCCUUAUUGCGAACUCUUUCUUCUUCUUAGGAUAAAUAUAUUCCUUUAUCCAAUGUAACAAACCGAUGGGUCGUGCUCUAUCGACCUCUCAUCGCACGAUGCGACGCUUAGACUCGGUCUUUAAUAAAGUUAAAUUCCAGAAUGGAAUAUACCUUCCUUCAUAUUCUAAUGUGAUAUAAUCACAUUUCAGCAUGUAGCAUUUCUGCCUACAAACUUCUUUUAACAACGAGAGCGACACUAUCAAUCGCAUUAACUUCAACCUUCUGACUUAAGUCAGAUGUUACAUCUAACUCGGUCCUCUAGACCACGUACAUACUCCUCGCCGUCGAACUCAAAUUAAACAUGACCACUAGGGUCGGAACAAGAACCAUCUUACUAGUCAUCACCGAAACAAUGGUAAUGACAUACCAGAAUAAAAUGGAAUCAAUCACUAGUUUCUUGGUAACCUUGUGACUUUCCCUGAUCCAAGUGCGAGUCCUGUGCUUCCGGUAGUAUAUGCAUCUACUACCUUUCACACCUACUCAUACUUGUCCCAAGUAUUGUCCCGCAGUCGACCAAGUCACCAUACAAGAAAAUCACAUAAUCAAUCAACACAUCAGAUAGCAAAACUAGGGUUUAUAUUAUUUCCUUGAAACGGUUACACAAAAGUUCAAGUUCACCCUAUACUAUGCCUCUAAUAGGCUACACCACAUGUUACUUUUCAUAUCGCUACUUUAUAUCUUGAUCUUUGGAUAUAAAAUCCUCAUUCCUGAUUCCUUGCAUUGCCAUCUGCUUCAUCAAGGAUCAUGUGGAAUGCUUUUGGUUUUGGUGGUGCAUUUGGCCUUAUAGCCUCUUCUCUUCUUGGGCAGUUUUGCUUGAAGUGCCCUUCUUCGCCACACUUAAAGCAGACUUCUCUUUUGGUUGGGCAUUUGCUGGCGUAAUGACCAGUCUUCCCGCAUUUAAAGCAGGUCAUUUCUUUAGAGCAUUCACCAAUGUGCUUCCUUUUGCACUUGUCACACCAUUGUGCUCCUCCCUCGAGCUUCUUCGAAUCAUACUUCGAAAAUUUUCUCUUCUCAUCGGACCUUGAAGAUCCUUCCAUCUUUCUUUUCUCACCCACCUCGUUUCUCUCCAGACCCCUUUCCUUUAACUGGGUCUCCACAUUUUUAGCUGCUCGGACUGCUGUCUUCAAAGUAGUUGCCAUCUUGACCGUUGGGCCAAAGUCGGCAGGCAGUCCAUUUGCGAACCUCUCAAUUUUUGAGAGUUCAGAUGGCACUAAGUAUGGAAAUAACUUCAUCUUUUCGGUAAAUGUAGUAGCAUAAUCAUCAAUGCUCAAUUUACCUUUCUUCAUGUUCUGGAAUUCAUUGUUCAGAUCAAUCAGAUCUAUCUCUGAGCAGUACUGCAUCUUUAACUGCUCCAGGAAUGAUUCCCAAGACAUCUUCAGGGCUUCCCCUCGAGGCAUCAUAUCUGCCAGUAACUUCCACCAGCUCAAGACUCCGGUCUUUAGUUGUCUAACUGCAAAGACAGUCUUCUGUUUGUUGCUACAGUCGCAACUCUCAAACACCAUCUCCAUUUCGGAGAUCCAGUCCAUAAUCUCAACAGGCUUUGGGCUUCCAGAAAGACUUGGCGGUUUGGCGCCCAAGAAAUUUUUAUACAUACGCCCAUCCCUGUUUCUUUCCCUCUCUGGGUCAUUCCUUUCUACUACUGGGGGUUCUGCUCGUCCAACCGUCCCACUGUAGUUACCUCCCUCUGAAUGCCCUCCAUUCACUUCAGGCUCUUCCACUUGAAGUGACACUUCCUCACGAUUCUGUUGGAGUAAUCGCCUUGUCUCCUCCAUUUGGCGAUCCAACAUCAUCUGUAUCAUCGCUUGCACCCCAGCCAUUGUCAUCGGCUCUGGUGCUGCUGCUACAACAGGUGCUUGCUCAACCACAGGUGGUUGAUUCCUGUUUUCAUCAGCAUUUCCAACCCCACUUCUUGUUCUCACCAUUUUUGAUCUACACACCCAAUAAGGUGAAAUUAGAUCCUUAUUCACGAUAGAUAUUCAAAUCAUCCUUAUCACUCCGAAACGUUUACAUGCUAGUUCUAAUAUCGUAGACGUACGCUUAGAAUCCUAAACACAUAAGGUUUCCAGAUCUGGUCGGCAAUAGACCAUAGAUCCGAACAAAUAAUAGCAUCAAUAUAGCUAUCACACAAAACAUUUAGCACAUAAAAGCAUUUUAGGCAUCAUUCCUAAAAUGAACUAGUGCUUGUGUCAAUUUAGGUGUACUACCUAACAUAUUUUAGACACACUCCUCACAAUCAUUACUUAGCAUUCUAAGUUUAAGUCUAGAAAUUUCCUACAAAUUCCUAGUUCGCUUAAACUAAUGCUCUGAUACCAACUGUGACAUCCCCAUUUUUCACGGCCAGAAAAGACCGAUUUGUUUAUGCUUUGUUUUAUAAAUCAGAGUAAUCGUUUAAAGAAAACGGUUGCGGAAUUUGUUCCCAAAACAAAAUAUGAUAAUAACUUAUCAAAACAUUUCUCAAAGAGAAUUUAUUUUCAUUUAAUAAUAAAACCUCGGGAUGUCAUGUUCCGAUACAGACAUAUAAGCAUAAACAGAACUUACAUUUAAUUACACAAUUGAUUUAUAUCUCCUUUAAAUCUCUCUGUGAAAUAUGUCUUCGUACUAAUACCUGUGAUACAAAGAAAACUGAGUGGGUCAGGCUUGGGAGCCUGGUGAGCAUAUAGGGUUUUCAUCCCACAAUGUUAUAUCAUAUAUUUAUAAAUAUAGAACAUUCAAACCUGCACAAUUUCACCAUAUAAAGACAACUCUUAACCCACCCCAUUGAUCCUCACAAUGACACGAUCUAAACUCUCGCAUCUAAUAUUUUUCCUCUUUACCUGAUCCCUACUCAUGGAUCUAAAACUACCCGAUCCAUACCCACGGAUCUAAAACUACCUGAUCCAUACUCACGGAUCUAAAACUACCUCCUGAUCUGAUCCAUACUCCCGGAUCAAUAAUUGUACCCAAUCCAUACUCCCGGAAUAGGGACAAUUAACUAUACCUUAAUCCUGAUCUGAUCCAUACUCCCGGAUCUAUAACUGUGCCCAAUCCAUACUCCCGGACUAGGGACAAUUAUCUUAAUCUUAAUCCAUAUCUGAUCCAUACUCCCGGAUCUAUAACUGUGCCCAAUCCAUACUCCCGGACUAGGGACAAUUAACUUAGUCUUAAUCCAUACUCCCGGACUAAUAGCAAGUUUAUCUCUUUACCUGAUCCAUACUCACGGAUCUAAAACUAACCUCUAAAUCUGAUCCCUACUCACGGAUCUAAACUGACCUCUUGAUUUGAUCCCUACUCACGGAUCUAAACUAACCUCUUGAUCUAAUCCAUACUCGCUGAAUAACUAGAUCAACAACAACAACAUCGGGGCCUCUCAUCUGUUUAUCACACAUCAACUGUCUCCCCAUGUUCUACCCAACAUAUUAGUAGAUAAAAAUAUAUAUUUUUAUCCAUAGUUUGAAACCUGUAUAACAUUCUCAUUCAAUACCUAUUCCACAUAACAGAUGAGGCACACCCACAUAACACGUAUUUCAUAGAGAAUAAAUCAGAUCUAUGAGAUAGAAGAAAGUGAAUAUACAUUCACACACAUAACAACAAUAUUAUACACAUAACACGUAUUUCGUAUAAAAUACUUCAUAAUUAUGCGUUAGAAGAAAGUAACUACACACUCACACUUAUAAACAACAAUAUACUUAAUACACUCGAACCAAACUUGUAUUAUUAUCGUGUUUAUGAAAGGUAGUAUACACUCACUUGAUCAGAAGAUGAUCGGACAGCACUACGACUUGCAGAAGUAGUAAUCCUCAGCAGAUCUGAAAGAUCUUCACAAAAAUCGAACUUCUCGCGGGCAGAGCUUCGGCUCGGGAACCGCACUUCUCGGGAUCUUCGGGAUCUCGGGACUUGCCUUGGGGCUUGAGUAUGAUACCUGGGCUUCGGGAUAUUUCUGUCACGCAAAACGGUUCAAAACGGGAGAGAGAAGAGAGAAAAUGAACAAAAGACUCGGCUGCCUUCGGAUCCUAUUUAUAGGAGGCUGGAGCCUCGGAGUACGCGGGGCGUACUGCUUCCGAAAUCGUCAUUGCAUGCGUCAUCCGAGCCACUUGCUGCGAGUAUCGACACCUUCGGAGUACGCGGGGCGUACCUCGGAUCAGACCGGUGACUCCUUCGGAUAAUGCUUCCGAAUUUUCAAUUAAAUUUAAUUACAAAAUAUUUAAUAAUCUUCGGAAAUUCAUAUCUUCUUCAUACGAACUCCGUUUUCGACAUUCUAUAUAUCCACGCGAAGGUGAGACUACGCUCUACAACUUUCGUUUAGACUCCGUCGGCUAAUUUUAACUUUAUUUUUAUUAUUUAUUUUUAAUAGACCGUGACAGAAAAACUUCAUUAUAAAUUCAUAACUUCUUUGUUUGACGUCCGUUCUCGCCUAACUUUUUAUCGCUUCGAUACCAACAACGAGACCUUCGAUCCUCGUUUAGAUUGUUUCGGCUAAAAACCGCUCGAUCUCAAAUCGAGUAUUUCGGGCUGCACAUCGCUAAGCCGAAACUUCGAUAAAUCAUAACUUCCUCAUACGAAGUCAGAUUUGGGCGUUCUAUAUAUAUUUGGAAACCUCGUUUCAACUACUACAACAUUAACCAAAGAUAUUAAGUUUAUUUUACACUUUAAUUUUGACGCUUAUUUUUAUUCUUAAUUAAUCAAACCACAUAAUUAAGAAAUUAAGCACAAAACACAUAAUACUCAAAUAACAAUCUUAUUAUUUCAAAACGGGUUACAGAGGUUAACCUAGACUAUUACAUUGCUAAAAAUGGCAAGCCCGGAAACACCGGCGUUACACUGCCCAUCAAGGACUUCAUUACGUUUGAGAAAUGUGCGUCGUUUGCUCAAGGAAAGCAUCAUAGAAUGCCGCACCUGCCAAAACAUGUCAAUUCAAUUAGCCAGGUUCUUCAAUUACUUCAUAUGGAUUUGUUUGGUCCAGUUAAUGUUCUAAGCAUAAACAGAAGCUCUUACUGUCUGGUUGUGAUUGAUGACUUCUCUCGAUUUACGUGGAUCUUCUUUCUAUCCAACAAAGCUGGCGUUUCUGAAUUGAUCAAGAAGUUCAUAGUAUUAGUUGAGAACCAGACCAACAAUCGGGUGAAGGCGCUUCGUACCGAUAACGGAACAGAGUUUAAGAAUUCUGUUCUUGAUUAUUUCUGCGCGGAAAAGGGUAUUUUGCGUCAAUUUAGUUCAGCUCAUACACCUCAGCAAAAUGGUGUUGCUGAAAGACGGAACAUAACGCUAAAAGACGCUGCAAGAACAAUGUUGUGUGAUUCAAAGCUGCCAGUUUUCUUCUGGGCUGAGGCGAUAAACACAGCCUGUUAUGUUCAGAAUCGAGUACUUAUCAACAAAGCUCAGAUGAAAACUCCGUAUGAAAUUUACUAUGGACACAAGCCAUCAGUCAGUCAUUUCCGUGUAUUUGGCUGUCCUUGCACCCUCCUUCACUUAGAUGCCAACCCGAAGUUUAAUGCCAAGGCCGAUGACUGCUAUUUUGUAGGGUAUGCUGCUUGCACUGCCUAUAGAGUCUAUAAUAAGAAAACCAAACAGAUUGUAGAAUCCUAUGACGUUCGUUGGUUGGAAGAAAAUGAGACAGACGCUAGAGUGGGUCCGGAUUGGUUGAUUGAUUACACGUCACUUUUCAAAUCAUUGAAUGUGUCCUCAAGUAAUUUAUAUAGAUCUGAUUCGAAUUGGAAGAGUAUUUCUGAAGAGGAAGAAGAAGAAGUUGUGUACAAGCCGCUAUCCACAUCCUCUACUUCAUCGAAGGGGAAGUCUAAAAUUUCACUUGAAGGGGAGUCCUCUGGCUCACAGAAUGGAGGAUCCCAAGCUAUGUCUGAGGGGGAGCCCUCCGCUGCACCAGAAGGGGAGUCUUCUGCAACAUCUUCGGGAGAGUCCUAUGCCACACCUCAAAGGGGGUCGACUUUUCUUUUCGAUAGUCCUCAAUACUCAGUCCAAUCUGAUUCUCCUGAGGCUGAUACUACACCACAUAUGUCAAUGGAGAAAGAGUUUAUUCCUAAUCAUGCUUCGCUGUCUCUACAACUUUUAUGGAAUUACUCUUUCCUGAUCUUAUCGCAGAUGAGUUUGUUGCAUAACCAUCUAGCAUUGCUCAACCAGCAAAUGAAGGAGGUAUCAAUAUUCACAUUCUUCCUGUCUCUCUAAAUGAUAUCAACCAAGAAAUACCUUUAAGGGUUCAACGCGAUCAUCCGAUCGAAAAUGUCAUUGGUUAGCUAGGUGACGGUGUUAAAACCAGAAGUCAGAGUGGAGAUGUGAAUACAUGUCUGUACUCUUGCUUUAUUUCUCAAAUCGAGCCCAAGAAUGUAGAAAUGGCUCUAAAUGAACCUACCUGGGUGGAUGCAAUGCAUGAGGAAUUGCACCAAUUUGAAAAACUCGGUGUUUGGAAGUUAGUUGAAUUACCGAAGGGCAAGAAGUCUCUUGACACCCGAUGGGUUUAUCGCAACAAGCAGGAUGAUUCAGGGGUCAUUGUGCAAAACAAAGCUCGAUUGGUAGUUCGUGGGUUUCGACAAGUCGAGGGUCUUGAUUACACUGAAGUUUAUGCUCCGGUAGCUCGCUUGGAGGCUAUCCGUAUCUUCCUAGCGUAUGCCUCUUACAUGAACUUUACUGUUUAUCAAAUGGACGUCAAGACCGUCUUUUUGUAUGGCAAGGUGAAGGAAGAAAUCUACGUUUAUCAACUCCCUGGGUUUGUUGACUCGAAGUAUCCUAAUCAUGUCUACAAAUUGGACAAGGCAUUAUAUGGGUUACAUCAAGCUCCUAGAGCGUGGUAUGCGACACUAACAAAGCACUUGCUCGAACACGGUUAUUCUCGUGGCACUAUCGAUCAAACUUUGCUCAUAAAACACGUCGACAAAGACCAGAUACUUGUACAAAUAUUUGUCGACGAUAUUAUCUUUGGAUCAACCAGUCAGCAACUUUGCAAGGAGUUCGAGGGUGUAAUGAAGAAACGAUUCGAAAUGAGUUCGUUGGGGGAAAUAACCAUGUUUUUGGGGCUUCAAGUUAAACCGAAUUCAACCGGGAUCCUGCUACAUCAAGCCAAGUAUGUGGAAGAUAUUCUUGAGAAGUUCGAGUUUCACGAUGCUAAACCUGCGUCAACACCGAUGGCUGAACGACCUCUUUUGACUCCAGAUCCUGAAGGCGAAUCCAUAGAUCAAGCUCAUUAUCGAUCAAUGAUCGGAUCGCUAAUGUAUCUUACUGCAAGUCGACCUGACAUAAUGUUUGCGGUUUGUCAAUGCUAUCAGGCUAACCCUAAACUCUCUCAUCUUAUUGCUGUCAAAAGAAUUUUCCGGUAUAUCAAAGGAAGCCCUAAAUUGGGUCUUUGGUAUCCGAAGAAUUCUGAAUUUGAUCUUUAUGCUUUUACUGACAGUAAUUAUGGAGGCUAUGAGCUUGACAGGAAAUCAACCUUAGGAGGAUGUCAGUACUUAGGUGACCGGCUAGUUUCGUGGCAAUGCAAGAAGCCACACACUGUAUCGAUUUCCACAACAGAGGCGGAAUACGUUGCUGCCUCAGCUUGCUGCUCUCAAGUUAUCUGGAUCCAACAUCAGCUGUUGGACUAUGGUUUGAAUUAUUUUGAAACCCUCAUCUAUUGUGAUAAUGAAGUGGCAAUUCAAAUUGCUAAAAACCCAGUCCAACACUCUAAAACCAAGCACAACGACAUUAAAAUUCACUUUAUCAGAGACUGUUUUGAACGAUCAUUAAUCCGGCUAGAACAGGUCCACACUGAUAAAAUGUGCGGACUUGUUCACAAAGCCAUUUAACAAAGCUCGCUUCGAUGUGCUUGUCGGAUUUCUAAAAAUGAUACGUUUUGAGGAUUAAGUUUUUUUUUUAAUUUUUAUUUUUCUUUUCUCAAAAUUUGUUUCCAAUUUUUUAAUUUCGUUAAGAACUUUAUUCUAUUUUAUUUUCUUUUGGUUUCCUGUUUUUUAGGCUAGAUAAAAUUUUUGUUCUUUUAUGUUCGAUUAAAUUUGCGCAUCGUUUUUCAUUUUACUCUUAUUCUCAUCCAUGCACAAAUUUAGGGGGAGAAAUAUAAAAAUCCAAAAAUUCAAAAACAAUAAAAAUUCAAAAAUUCAAAAACAAUUUCGCUUGUGGGUAUUAUGAUGGGAAAUGAAAUUAACAAGUGAUAACGGGCAAUCUGAAUCGGUGUAACGUACCUAAGUUGAAUCGUCUACGCUGUGUGCUUGAUGUGCUAGUAGGCACAAAAGAUUUUAAAUGGACUUGACUAGGAAAAGUUGAACCUAAUGAAUUUUAAGAACUUGACAAACCUUGACCUAGUUAGAUCCGUUUAACCUGAUGUCACGACGCUUGGNNNGAUAGGUUGAGCAGGGAGAUAUAUAUGGGAAUCUACUCGUCACAUUAAUUGAACCCGUACUUGGAACCGUGGUUUAACUUUUCCUCGAUGUGCGGAUUUUGUCCUUAAUUCCGGUUGGAUGGGGUGACUGGUAAAUUCCAAUAAAUUAGGUCUGUAGAAUAUCAUUUUCUUUCUUUCCGUCUGUUAGUCAUAUGUUGUCUCCUUUGCGUGACUUCUAAUCCGACCUGGUACACAACAUAUGCAACUCUAUUUCUCUGCAGGCUAUAUAUGUGAAAUACUUCUUAUCUGUUAGCCAUAUGCUGUCUCCUUUGCGUGACUUCUAAUCCGACCUGGUACACAGCAUAUGCAACCUUCUUCUUCUCACCCCCUCUGAAGUAGUAAGUAAUAGAAUUUUGAAUUUAUCCUCUCUCUAAAUGGUUGUCUUCUCACCCGGUGUAAGGAGCACUACUAGAAAAAUAGCCUUUUACAACGCUCAUUGCGCGUCGUAAAACGCUCAGACGACGCGCGAAUGCGCGUCAAGGAAGGCCCUGUCAUAAAGAGAGACGACGCGCUUUUGCGCGUCAUCUGAAGACGACGCGCAUUUACGACGUGCAUUUACGACGUGCGUUUAUGACACGCAAUGCGUAUCAAGGAAGGCCCUGUCAUAAAGGAAGACAACACACAUUUGUGUGUCGUAACAUUAUAACGCGCGUGUUUAUGACACGUAAUGCGUAUCAUGGAAGCCCUUGUCAUAAAUGAAGAUGACAUGCAUUUGCGUGUCAUAAACUUCAGUAACCAUUUUCGAUAUGCAUUUACGACGCGUCUUUAUGAUACUCAUUUCCGCAUAAUACAAAAAUAUGUAAACAAAUAUAUACAAAAACAAUCAAUUUCAUCUAAUAACAUCAUGUCAAAAAAUUGUAAUACAUUGAUAUUAUUGGGAUCUAACAGUACAUUGUUAUUAAGAGGUUUUUCCUAACUAUCUAACCUAAUACUCCUACAUUGCUAAUACUCCAUAUCAUUGGUUUGCCACCUGGUGUACUGGGCUGCUGUCCACCGGGCAUGGAUGACAUGUAAUGACUUGAGCAUUAGCUAAAACAAAAAAGCUUUUAUUAAUCAUACAAUCAAGUUUAGCUACAUGAUAGAGUUGUUAUAUAGAUAUUUUGUUAAUCACACAAUCAAGUUUAGCUACCUGAUAUAACAAGUUGACACUAUCUCCUCCUCCAAACCUCUUACAAGUACACCUCCCUUUCCAUCAUCCAUGAGUGCUGGAGAGGAAGUGUCUUUGUUGGAGCUUCCCAUCAAGCAAGUUAUAUAAAGCACUAAUAAAUCUGUAAAUAUUUUGUUUAAUUAAGAUUUUAAUUUAAGUGAAAAUAAAGAAUUCUAAAAAAAAUGACCUUAACUAGAGAGGAAGUGUCUUUUUUGGAGCUUCUCCACUUUGUUUCAAUAGAUGUUGAAUUGAAUUUUGCUGAUGAAAGCCUUUCAUAUAAAACCUGAAAAAAAUUAAAAUUAAAAAAAAGAAAAAGAAAAUAUUGAGUAUUGAAUAUUCUUACUUGCUGAAGCCUAAAGAGGUCAUAAAAGUUAUCAUUCCCAUAAAAGGCAUGCAAAUAUUUUAUUUCACCAUUAUCACAUAAAGGAGCUGCAACACGUUUUGCCAAUCGCUUGGCAGUUGACAAAAACUACUCAGACAGGGGCAAAAUCGUCAAAUCACCAUCACCAUGAAAAUAUUAAAUAUUGGAUUGGGAUUGGGAUUUAACUAUUUGAUUACAAAAAAGGCAUUGGAAUUUGAAACUAAACAUACUUGUAGACAUCAAGCAUGUCCAAAAAGAUGACCCAUUAAGUCAUUUUGUCCACAUUAAGUCAAAAAGGAACAACCAUGCCAUGUAUAGUUUGUUCAGAUUAAGUGAUUAAUUCAUUAAGACCACUAAGUCAAAAAGAAUCAACCCCUAAGUCAUUAUUAUAGGUUGUUGUUGUAGCUGUACUUUGUGUUCAAACUAAACCGGGUUACAGGCCAUAUACAAACAUUUGUGUCACGCAAGAGUGUUAUUUGUGCAUAAACUUCAUUUGUUUCUGGUUCAGCCUAAAAAAAUGAAUCCAGAACUAAAUUACUUAAAUAACCAAAUGGAUUAUGAGUAUUAGUCUCUGAAAGAGACUAAACUACCCUCACUAACUUACUCAAAGGAAUCAAAGUAGUAGACCAAUUUUUCAUCCAAUCCAGCAAGGAUAGAAACAAAGAUCAAGUAAAAUCAGAAUGAGAAAAAAAUCAUUUUGUAUAAUUGUUACAUGUAUAUGCCUGAAUAUACCAUAUUACACUUGCCUGCCAAAUUAUAUAUUAAAAUAAAUAAACAGAUUUUUUUUCUAAAGUCCAAAGUUAUAUGUCUGAAGAAACAUUGUAUUUUCCCUUCUUAAUCUUUAAAAUAUCAUAUUUACUUAUAUAUAUAUAUAUAUAUAUAUAUAUNNNNNNNNNNNNNNNNNNNNNNNNNNNNNNNNNNNNNNNNNNNNNNNNNNNNNNNNNNNNNNNNNNNNNNNNNNNNNNNNNNNNNNNNNNNNNNNNNNNNNNNNNNNNNNNNNNNNNNNNNNNNNNNNNNNNNNNNNNNNNNNNNNNNNNNNNNNNNNNNNNNNNNNNNNNNNNNNNNNNNNNNNNNNNNNNNNNNNNNNNNNNNNNNNNNNNNNNNNNNNNNNNNNNNNNNNNNNNNNNNNNNNNNNNNNNNNNNNNNNNNNNNNNNNNNNNNNNNNNNNNNNNNNNNNNNNNNNNNNNNUUUAAUUAGUCUCUUUUGAUCACAUAAUUAAUUCCAAACUAAUUCUUGAUCAAUACUAAUUAAAUAAUAUGAUUUCAUAUUAAUAUAUUAGAACUUAUAAUAUAUUAAUAAAUCAUAAAUAUCCUCUUCUCACAAAAUUCUAUCCAAAUUGUUCUGAUGUCAUGCAACCCAAAUGGACCAUGCUACUCAAGUACAUACCAAUAAUAGUUAUGGGCUUAAAUACCUAAUCCAACAAUCUCCCACUUGGAUAAGUCUAAUAACUAUUAUUGCAAGCACAACUCCAACCCAACUAGCAAUCGUAGCUCUUAAAAGCCGAUGUCGAACUCUGACCUAGUCAAUGACGUGUCCAUUGGAUAAGGAAUCAUAUAUUCCUCCAUUCUAGAUAUCAUAUGGACUGAGAAAUGGAUUAUAAUCAUUCUCUUUGUCCAUCUGUUGUUUCCCGAUUUCUGAUUUAUGAUGACCGACUAAUUGAACAAAUCAAAUCAGUCCAGGCCUGGUGUCAUUACUAAAUCAUCGAGGGGCCCAAAAAUAUCGCUUUUAUCCACAUGGGGUAAAAGGAACAGAUAAAAUUCGACCCAGAUGCUUGCUUGUACUCACUCAUCAAAUUACACAGAACGAUAUGUUUUAUAACAUCCAAGUUACUGGUGCGUUUACAUAUGUCAAUGUGCAACCAACUCGCAACUACAACUCGCACGUCUCCGUUUGAAGAAUAUAAGAUAUUAUUAUCUCAUGAUCACUCGUGAUAAAAUCCAUGAAGUGAUUCAAAUGAGCAUGGGUUGACUCCAAUACUCGAAUCUUAUUCCAGGAGUACUCAUGAACACUGCAGCCUCUUUGUCCUAGAAAAACUACAUACCCAUUCAUGACAGUCUUUCCUCAAUACCUACUUCCAAAGUAUGAUCGACUGUAGAUAGUUUGAAUAACCUAGCUAUUCGGGAAGUCAAAACAUGCCAAGUGAAACACAAGAAUAAUACUAAUCCUAUAUGGCCCAAAAACUUUUGAGUCAUAUUGAUUACUCAUUAUUCAUUGUAUAAUGUUUUGAGUAAUCAACUUAAUACUUGAAUUAAAACAGUAGUUGUCCCAUGCUCAAAGCAUGCACACUAUGUUUUCUAAACGAUAGCGAUGCCAUGCACCAAGCAUGCACACUAUUUUUGUUUAUGGUCCUUAAUUUGUGAAAUAGAUCAAUUGAAAAACAUGUCAAUGAUGCUCAUUUCAAAAUUCCAAAUCCUUAUUGUAAGUGUAAGAAUUCCAAAUUCUUGUCACUACUAGAAAGUGUUAGAUUCUAAACUAUCAUGCAAUGAUUCUUUUGUAAUGUCUAGGUACCAAAAGACAUAAAGAAUUGACCAAUGAUAUUACAAAAUAUUCCUUUGGACAUUGUUACAAGACAAUUCCAUGGAAAUGAAGUCUCAAAUUCAAAGUACACUCCUUUAAACAUCCUUCUUGCAUAAAAGUUUCUCACUUUCUCAUAUAUUCUUCAACUCCCAAUAUGGAAACAUUCCAUAUUUUCCAUACGAUAAUUCAUUAUUAAUAGAAUUCUGUCUAUUCAUAAUAAUGUCAAUAUGGUCCAUCCAUUACUAUACUUCCAACUGUCCUUAAGUGACCAAUCAUUGGCGAACGUUAGAUUGUCCUUAACAGUUGCUCAACCACUUUAGUCAUAAUCGGUUCUAGUCCUUUUUCUCUCUUAAUUCCCUAGGCAUUUGGAAAAAUUUAGAACAUGAGAAUAUUAUAGCAUAUGCAAUCGAUCCUAUACCCGAAGUAUAUGGGAUGCGAUUCAUAAUGUCUAACAUAAAGACAUGAUACUUGAUCAACUUUCUACUAUAAUAUUUCUGUUUUCCAUGUUCUCAUAAUUUAGAUUAUGAAGAGGGAUUCCAUAAUCAUAACCAAAUUUUGAGAACACAAUUAACAUUUCCAUAUAUAGAAUUUCCUUAUGUUGAACCAUUCCAACAUAACAUUCACACACACACACACACACACACAUAUAUAUAUAUAUAUAUAUAUAUAUAUAUAUAUAUUCGAUACCAAACAAUUCUCUCUUAACAACUCUUGGUAGAACAUAUUGACCCAUCCGGUUAAACUCUAAAAGAGUUUCUGACUGAUUAAAUGAAAGAGCAGGAAACAGGGAAAUAUACGAUGACCCGUAAUUUCACAUAAUGGUGUUCUGUAAAAACCCAUACAAAAAACAUUACUUUUCCUAAUUCCCAGGAUAACCAUCUGAACUCAGUCUCUAUAAGGCUCGUGAUAUAGUGAAUUCAAUUAUUUUUAAAAUACAUCAUAUUUACAAACGAUUUCCUUAGUUUUCAAGUCUCGACAGGAAACAUUGUGGAGGAUUUAUAAGCAUGAACGUUUUCCUCUACGUGAGCCUACAUCCUUACAGAUUUUUUUACCAAUCAAGAAAUGAAAGAAAACUCAAACCACAACUUCGUAAGUUCCAUAUAUGAUCAAUUCACACAAAAAGCAUACACUGCGGCUUUUGCACGACUUAUUCAACUUGAUAGCAACCACAACUAAAGUUGAAAAAGACAAGUACACAAUUAAAAGAGAAUAUAUCGUACAUAUAAGGAAAGAAACUCAUGGUCACGAGUAAUUUGUUUGAAGUUUUAUUGUUCGUUGCCUCCUUGAGACGACGUAUCGGAAUCUGAGAUGGACAUAUUUCAUUCAAGAACCUAAUUACUAAAAAAAUCAGUGCGUGAAUCGAUUGAAGAAAAACCUCAAAGUUCAACAAGAAACACAGAUCACAGCAAUCAAUUCUUUGGUGGUUUGAAGAUGGGUGGGGGAGAGAGAGAGAGAGAGAGAGAGAGAGAAAGAGAUUGGUGCUUACAUUCUGCAGCAUCCAAGAAAAAGAAGACAUGAUUCCAAAGGUCUAGGAAAUAUAUAAUAAAAAACAUAUAAAUAUUGAUACACUUGUGCCACUCCCACUAGAUAUUUCACAAAGAAGGGCAUAUCUAUCACGUAUGGUACCACCUGAAUUUGCCAAAGCAUCAACUUUUGAUUGCUUAUUUAUUUCAGACCUUUCUCAUUGUUGUCUGAUUAAUGUUCCUUUGAAAUCUUGUGGCAUGUAGCUUAUUACUGCAUCCACAUCAUUCAAAUCAUCAAUGUCUUCUGGUGUAGACUAUUUUUGAAGCUGCCAACAACAACAAAAACACAAAAACUAAAAGGUGAGAUGGGAUUUACAAAUAAAUAAAUAAAAGAAUUAGUAUCUCACAGAUUUUGGCCAAUGAGAGCUCAGAAGAAAGAAAAGAAAAGAAAUAAAAAGACUAUUGUUUUAUGAAUUAAGAUAAGAAUCUUACUUCACACAUUUGAUGGUGUUCUGUGCUUUGUCUUCCAAUUUGUCUUGGCAUCAUAACAUGAAUUACAAGUUUUAAGAGUAUUACCACACCCAAACCCAUUCCACCUAAUGAAACAUAAAUUAUAUUAUAUAUUUCUAUAUACAAACUGCACAAAGUAGAAAACAAUCUCCUUGGGACAAAUUCAAAUUUCAAUUGGCUCAGCCUAAUUUUUAAUCUUGAUUGCUAACCGACAUUCCAUAUACAACCGGAUGUUGCCUUAAGCUGGAGUCGAUUACUUGGUGAGUUAAGCCGACCCCUUGGUUGAGGCUCACUCGUUGCUUCUUCAUAACAAGUGAACCACGGUAAGAGUCUGGGUUUAAGGGCUCAUGUUCAUCGGUGGCAGGGGCUGGGGCUGGGNUAGCUUGAAGAUGAGGAGGAACUCGACGAGUGGGAUGAACAGCUCUUCGAGUCGGAAGAACAACUCGACGAGUUGGUUGAUGAUUGCCUUGGGCUCGGAGAGUCUAUUCUUGGACUCGGCGAGUCAGGUCGCGAAACCCCAAACCCUUCGAGUUGAAACUCGAAUCAGCGAGUCGGGUGGAGACUCAGCGAGUUGGACAGGUCAGGACUCGGGAAUAGCUGACUCGGNGUCGAGUCGCGAAUAGAAAGAUCCUGAGCAUAUGAACUCGACGAGUUAUUAGGUGGACUCAGCGAGUAGGGUUGACCUGGAAGGUUGACUUUGACCAGGAUUUUGACCUUGAACAGAGAUGACCUAGUUGACCUUUGGAGGUCAGUUGGACUAAGUGUUAUAUUGGCAUUGGUAGCUCGAGGAGCUAGUGGAGCAGCAGUUCGGAGUCAGAGGUCAGGAAGCAAUCAAAAGGAUUAGUAGCAUUAGUUCAGCAGUCUCAGGUGAGUUUCCUUCCAGUAGGAACGGGUCUAAGGCCACAAUGCCGGCCCGUUUAGCUAGUAGUAGUUUCCAGAUUUGAUCCGAUGCAGUAGUUAGCAUGUUUGAUGCCUUCGUGGCUCAGACAAGAUUUAUGUGUUAUGUGAUCCGGGCUACGACCCGAUGUAGUAUAUAUGUGUGUUCAUGCUAGUGUAUAUGUUUAUGCUAUGUUCAGUUAGCUUCGGACUUCGGUACGAUGUAGGGGACGGGGGUCCCAGUCAGCUUCGGACUUCGGUCCGAUGUAGGGGAUGGGGGUCCCAGUCAGCUUCAGACUUCCGUCCGAUGUAGGGGACGGCGGUCCCAGUCAGUUUCGGACUUCGGUCCGAUGCAGGGGACAAGGUCCUAGUUAGUCCGGACUUCGGUCCGAUGCAGGGGGCAAGGCCCCAGUUAGCCCGGACUUCGGUCCGAUGCAGUGGGCAAGGCCCAGUAUGUGCUUUAUAUGUUAUUGUAUGGUAUGUGGUAGAUUGGGGGAGCUCACUAAGCUUCGUGCUUACGGUUUUCAGUUUUGGUUUCAGGUACUCGGUUUUCAAGAGAGGAGCUCGGGAAGAUUGCAGUGCACACACCAUAUUCAGUUAGCCUGGGAACGUUUGACUCUGAUAAUGAUAUUAUGUUCUGAAUUAAUACUUGAGAAAUUAUGUUAUGACUUAUGAUACAGUUUUUCUAAAUAUGAUUUUAGUAAUGUUUUUAAAGAAAUUUUUAGUUGUGAUUUUUGGGUCGUUACAAGAUGGUAGGGAGGCAGUGGAUAGUAGGAAUGGUGGUGACGGUCGAUUGCAUAGAGGUGAGUGUGAGGUGAGGUGGAAUGAGAUUUUAUGAAAAAAGCCCUAGAUUUGGACGCCUUUUGUAAUUGAGGAUAAUGGAUGCGCAUUUGGUAAAAGAAUUAUAGAACGACGCAUCUGCAAUCGAGAAGGUGGAGGAUACAGAUGAGAGAAAACCUGGUGGAGAAGGAGAGACGAGAAGGUGGAGGUGUCGAUUAGGGGUUGUUCAACUGGUAGCUUCGAUUGAGACGAGGGAGAAGAAGGCGGGGGUUGAAAAAAUUUGGGGAUUUCAUUUUCCCUCUAAGGAGCGCGUUUCUUAAAAAAAAAUAUAUAAAACAACAGUCACAGAGGACGCACAAGUGCCCUCCGUGUUUUUAAUUUUUUUACAUGAGACACUAAUUUAAGGGCACGCAAUAGUGCGCGACCUAUAUCCUUAGAUUUUUUAAAGAGAUGACACUUUUUUAAUGUCACUCUCGUUUGCGUAACAUAAAUUAAUGAGUGUCGUGGUUUGCGCGUCGUAAAAGGGUCUUUUUCUUGUAGUGCANNNNNNNNNNNNNNNNNNNNNNNNNNNNNNNNNNNNNNNNNNNNNNNNNNNNNNNNNNNNNNNNNNNNNNNNNNNNNNNNNNNNNNNNNNNNNNNNNNNNNNNNNNNNNNNNNNNNNNNNNNNNNNNNNNNNNNNNNNNNNNNNNNNNNNNNNNNNNNNNNNNNNNNNNNNNNNNNNNNNNNNNNNNNNNNNNNNNNNNNNNNNNNNNNNNNNNNNNNNNNNNNNNNNNNNNNNNNNNNNNNNNNNNNNNNNNNNNNNNNNNNNNNNNNNNNNNNNNNNNNNNNNNNNNNNNNNNNNNNNNNNNNNNNNNNNNNNNAUGUGAAGAUAAGGGUACCGACAAGUGGAAUAAGGUUGUCCAACAACUUUGAUCCCAGCAUCACAAAAGGAGUUAUAAUGGUUAAAGUUUUGUUUUGUCAAAUUAUUUUAAUUUGAAUUUUAUUUUUUCUUUUAAAAUUUAAUUUAAUUUUAUAUUUAUUUUAUUUUUAAAUUUUAAUUUUAAUUUUUUUAAUUUUUAGUUUUAUUUUUACUUUCAUAGUUUUUACUAGAUUUUAAUUUUUCAGCAAUUAAACCAUUUAUUUUUUUUAUUUUUUAUUGUUAUUUUUAUUUUUCGAAAUUAUUUCUAAAUAAUCCUCAAAGUUUUUUAUUUUUUAUUGUGUUGGAAGUUGAAAAAUACUGGGUAGUUAUCAGGUAAGAGGGUAAUUAGUGGUAAAAGGGUAAAUAAGGAGUUCACUGCCGGAAUCUCCUCAUUCACGAGAUUCCGGCCGCAAACCCUAUUCAAAUCCUCUCAAACCUUCAAAAAAAAUUUGUGUGAUUUGUGGAAAACUGCUUCAACCAUCACGUAGGUAAUAACUUCUAGAUCACAUAUAUGUAUUUUAUUACGAUUUUAACCGUGUAAUUUGUCCGGAAAUUGAAAAAACGACUCCGACGGAGCUUACGGCCGUAAGUUUGGGCCGUAAACUCCGUUUUGGCUUUCAAUCUUUGUUAUUUUGUUGCAAUUCGUCCAUUUAUAUGCAUCUGUUGGGGUAUUAUCUGUCAAUUCGACGUAAUGGUGUGAUUUUUGCAAUUAUUUCGAGAAUUUGUUCAUCGGCCGUAAACUCCUCUUAGACCGUGAACUGGGAGUUUACGGCCCAAGAACUGGGAGUUUACUGCCUUCAAAAAUUGUUUUCUAAAUACAUGUGUUAUUUUCGUGAAAUGUGUUUGUCGUGGUUUUUAGGCCGUAAACUUCGAGUUUACGGCCCAAGAACAAAAGAUAUCAAAUUUUUAAUUAAUUAAUUUGGUAACUGGUUUUUGACAGUAAACUCAAUUUUUUUUUUAAAAAAAAAUAUCUUUUAAGAAAAUUUUGUUUAGAUCAUAUUUUUAACUAAACUUUUUUUUUCGGGUCAAAAUAAAAUUUUAUUUUUAAGAAAUCAUUUCUCUUACAGUUUGUGGUUGAGUGCAAACAAUGGAAAAUUUGAAGUUUGCAGACAUGCACAAUCUCGCCAUCAUACUUGCAGAUCCUCCGACAAUUCACUCAGACAUGCGCUCAAUGAUUCAUCGAUUGCGGGAAUGCUGUUUAGUGACAGCUAUCACUGUCAACUCGGUUGUGUAUCAGAACCUGAUUAGAGAAUUUUGGGCGACCGUGAGAACAAACAUGGAUGACAAUGGCAACUUCACGGUGAAAGCUAGGGUCCAAGGACGUGAGAUUGUGAUCAAUGAAGGUUUUAUUCGAGAGGCUCUGCUUAUUGAUGAUCAACCAAAUUUCCCGACUGAAAUUGGAAUUGAAGAUGCUCAACGAAUUCUUUGAAGAAUGAGCUACAAAGGAACAUCUCCAUCAACUCUGAAAAAGUUAUUUAUCACCCGUAUUGGAGGUUCCUGGCGCACGUGUUUGUAAGUUGCGUCUUGGGUAGGAGGUCGGGAGCAGAUGAGAUUUCUCAAUGCACAACUGGUGCCCUCGUCUCUCUCGCUGCUGGAGGGAGGUUCAAUUUUUCCAAGUUCAUCUUGGACGACUUCGUCAUUAACAUUAGAGCCUCCACCCGAGACACCUUCCUCUUAUAUCCUCGUUUUGUUCAGCUGUUUAUCAACAUUCAGUUUCUAGAUGUGAGAAAGGAAGGAGAGACUCUCGAUAUGAAGUCUUUGGGUCCACACACCGUGGAACUCAUUAAACAAAAUCACAGAGGCAAAGUUGUAUUUCAGGGGUUAUAUCCACUAGAAAAAUUUGGAAAGUUCACAGAGCUAAAUGAACCCAUAGAGUCCUAUGAUUCUUCUGAACGGACCUCUUCUGAACCAGCUUCUGCUGAAAGGUCAACUCCUAACAAUCCGAUUAUUAAUGUUUCCGAGGAUGAGAGUUCUGAGGAAGAAGUACACCAACUCCUGACGCUCAAAUAGUUUCAGAACAUGAACAGGAGUUAGGUCAUAUUCAAGAUAAUGCGGAAAUGAACGUUGAGAUGGGAGGGAAUAUUGGGGAAGACAGAAAUGACUCUUUCGAUGAUCUUGACCUCAUGGGGUUCGAUAAUGAUGAUAUUGCUGCUUCAUUAUCUAUCAGUGCAAAUGUGGUGUCACAUCAGAACCUUGAUGCUAUUUUCUACAAUGUCGAUGACGUUGUUUUCCCAACAACUGAGACAAGGAAGUCUAGUGAGACUAUUGAAACUGAAACUCCAACAUCCGGGAAAAUGGUGUCUGCUUCAAUUCCUAUGGAGACAGUUAUAGGAUGUUCCCCUUCUAUAUCUGCUUCUCCUACUACUGAACCGUUUGCAAGUGUUUUUACUCCACAGUCUAACCAGCCCCCGUCGAAAAGGCAAAGAAGCGAUUUGAGGCAGGGCAAAGUAAUUCCAAGACUUGUCAGCAGCCUCCAUGUACCACCAGUUAUUACUGCUACCACCAGACUCACAACAACAAAGAUGUUUCCAACAGGUCCAAGCUCGGUGUUUACUGUCGGUGAUUCCUCUGCACCUCCUGGUUUCUCAAUUCCAAGAUAUACUCGUGAUGAUGCAUCUGAAAGGUUGGCUUUGCACAUGGCCGAAGAACAACUUCUAACGCCAGAUCCUCGAGGAAAGGGUAUUUCUAUUAAAGAAGGUGGUUCUAGGGGUGACAAUCUAACUCUUUCUGGUUUGCAAAAGGAAAUUUCGGUUCUAAGCCAGAAGAAUAUUGAGUUAGAUAUUCAAGUGACGGAACUUCGUGCUGAGAAUGCUAAGCUUAAUAUUCAAGUCUCCAAGUUGCAAUCUGAUAAGUCUAGUCUUGGGGUAGAAGUGGCUGAGCUUAAAAAGGAUAAAAAGUUGAAGUCUAAGCAGAUCUCUGACUUACAAGAUUACUUCAAUCUACUAACUUCAAGUUAUUUUGAACUGAAAAAGAAACUCGAGGAAGACUUUGGAGACAAGUAUCAAACAUCUGUUAAAGAACAACGGAUCAAUCUUCAUGUAAAAGCUUUCCCAGUUGAUUUACCUGUCAGUCAAUCAUCUGGUACUGCUAGUCAUGGUGAGGAUGCAUCUCGUCUGGCUCCACAUAUAGUAGAAACCAUUCGUCGUGAUCAAGAUGAAGAAGCAACGAAAGGGCAAUUGUUGUUCAAGAGGAACUUUAACCUAAAUGCUUCUUGGGACGAACCGUUAAUCACAAUGACUGAUCUUGAAGUGGUUCGGUUCCGAGAUUCUUUUGGAGAGCGAUUGGGAGUGGCUCCGUUGGGGUUCCAUGAUCCCCUUAAGAUGUGGAUUGUGAUUCGAAAAAGUGGUAAUUCUGAGUUGUACAAGAAUAGCCAUGAUUCUAGCUCAUUCACGAGGAUUGAUUUGACAGAGCUGUCUCGAGCUCCCUUCAUCAAUCUAAUGAAUAAUCCACAAGUCACUCAAUUCAAGAACUUCCUUGAUGAUCAAGUCAAAAAAGGGUUUCCGUCCAUGCCAACUCCAGAACCUAUGAUUUUUGAACAUCCAGAUGUUAUUGAUCACUCUACCGACAAACCCUUGCAAGUGGUAAUGUGGACAGCGACGAAACAGGUUAAAAAGUUUCUUAUGCUUCAAGUUUAUCAGGAUGGAUCUCUUGGUUCGUUAGAGUGUUGGGUCUUUGAUGAGAUCACCUAUGGUGCAGUUCUGAAGCUCAAAAAUGGAUGCAUCAGACUUUAUGAUCGAAGAGAUUUGUUGCAGUUCCAGAAGUGGGAUAUUCAUUAUCUCAGCAACUUUCAUAUCAAGGUUGUUGAAGAUAUCUAGAAGACUGUGCGAAAGUGUAUACGACAAUGGUUGCAGAAAUUUUGAGCAAACGCAUGUGGAACGGAGCUAUGGGGCAAAUGGAUGUUAUGAUCGUCAACAAAGGAUGACCUUGGACUAGUCCAAACCAAGGGGGAGAUUAAAAGGCUUAGAAUAAUGGUUUGGUCUAGGUGUUGCAGUUAGUGAUAGGGGUACGUUUGUAAUUAGCUUUUUGUCAGUUUACGGUUGUAACUGAGUUUACGGCCGUAAACACCUUACGGCCGUAAACUCCUCACGGUCUUGGGUGUCUAUAUAUAUAGGGUUGUGUUAGACGUAUUGUUGGUUGAUGCCUUUAGUAUUUUGCGGUUCCACCAAGUUGUAUCAGAUGUUUACGGUUAUAAAACGUAUGCAAGCUUGGUUUGUUACUUCUUUGUUUAUCAUUUCGCUUUGUGUGAUUGUUAUGUGCUUUUGAUCACUAGAAAGAUCCGAUUUUGGACCUUACACUUGGAAAGCCUCUGUAUGGGUUAAGAGCUAGUGGUACUCGGCGAGUCACAUGGGUGUACUCGGCAAGUUGCAUAAAGAUAGGCAGCAACUCGAUGAGUUAGAAGAACAACUCGGCGAGUUGGUUGAAGAUAGCCUUAGACUCGGCGAGUCUGGUCCUGAGGUCCUAACCUUUCCUGGUUGAGCAGUGAAUCGGUGAGUCAAGGGAUAACUCAGUGAGUUGAGUGCGAUUAGACUCAGAGUUGUGGGACUCGGCGAGUAUUGGGGCGACUCGGGGAUUUGAGUCGUGUUAUGGGAGUUUCUGAGCAUAGGGACUUGACAAGUCGGCGGGGUGACUCGGCGAGUAGAGAUAGUCUUGUGUUGACCAGUUGACUUCCCGGGGUAAUUUGGUAAUUAUUGGUAUUUAUUGAGUUUAGUCUUUUGGUAUUAUCAGUGGUGGAGUUUGUGUCGGAGGUUGGAGCAGCGUGAUCUUAUCUUUUCGGUCAGCAGUUGCGAGGUGAGUUAUCCUCACUAUAUCGACAGGGUCUAAGGCACCAAGGCCGACCCUUUAUUGGAUUGUAAUCCGGGUAUCGUUGUUAUGUUAUUGCUUUGCUAUGUUUGCAUCCUGGUAGUUAGGAUGGUAUAUGCUAGUGACUGGUUAGGUCGGUAUCCUGGUUAGGAUGAUGUUAUGUUAUGUGAUUUGCUAGAUCAGUUGAUUGGUGAUUAAUUGUUAUAUGAUUAUAUGUUUAUGUGCACAUGGUUGGUUGACUGGGGUUGGGUUGAGGCGGGUCCUGCUUUGUGUUGUAGGCCAACAUACCCAGGGCGGAUCGGAUAUUCCGAAGGCCCAGCGAGCAGUCCGGAUAGGUUGUAGGCCCCACAAGGGCGGACCAGACGUGCCGAGGCUUGGAGAGUGUGGACCAGGAUGACUGAAGGCCCAGUGCGGGCGGACCAGUCAUACUGUAGACUCAGAGAGGGGACCAGGUGGGUUGAAGGCCCGGUGCGGCCGGACCAACCACACUGCAGACUCGAUGNGGCUAGAAUCGGAGGGUGGACCAGGUGGACUGAAGGCCGGUGCGGCGGACCAGUCACAUAGUAGACCCGAAGUGCAUGGUUGUUCUGUUCUCUUAUGAUAUGUUAUGUGUAUGGUAUAUGUGGUUGGUAUUUUGGGGGUGUCUCACUAAGUUUUCGGGCUUACAGUUGUGGUUUAAAUGUUUCAGGUACUUAAGGAGACUGUGGCAAGGGAAAGGCGUGAUCGUACCGCUCCUCAUGUUCUUGUUUCAUGAUAUGGUUCUGGGAAUACUCUGAUAAUAAUUUUAUUGAAUACCUUUUUUCAAUGAAUUGAUGAAUAUGGGUUGUUUUAGAAAAAUAUAAAUUGGCUUGAAUUUUUUUGGAUGUUACAAGUUGGUAUCGGAGCCUUGGUUUGAGUGAAUUGGAGGAACAUUCAUGUGAAUCCAGUCUCAAAUCAAGGAGAGUUUUCAAAAGAGAAUUUAAAAUGGUUUUUAAAAAUGACUAAAGGAGGACGCGGAGUUACGAUCAGUCGGAGCCAGUAAGUAGCCCCAAAAUACCAUACAAGUUAUUUGUUUAUGUGAUAUGAUAGAACAACAUGCUACUACUAGGCUAGGGAUCUUCAGGAAUUGCAUGAUAGAGUUGCCUAAUUUAUGAUGCCUGCUAGCCUAGGGUUUCUUUCUGUAUGAGAUUUCCAGUGUUCCUCUAGGAGUGAGGGUCGAGUGCUUGUUAUGCAUGUUCUUCACUAGGGUGUUGUGGUGAUACUUGAUAUAAAUAUGGGUAGGUGUGGAAGGUAGUAUGGGCCCGUAUUACUGAAAGCACAGGACCCAUACGUGUAUCAAGGAAAUCACAACCCCUAGGGCUGGGUUGAGAGUCGGUUUCCAGGUUAGUGGGAGGUAUCUGAUGUUUACGGUGUUUUUCAGUAUGGUGUUUACGAGGGAUGCUGGGAGUGGAUCUGGGUCAGGAUCGGGAGCAGGAGAGGGAAGUCAGGGUGGGUUAGCACCACCCGAGGUUAUCGGUCAAAUGAGCACUGACGAGUUGGAUACUAGGAUUCGUGAGAUCCUACAUGACGAGGUUGCUGCUAUGUUCCGGGCCGAGUUGCUGGAACUGUUUGGGACGAUCAAGAACACCAUGGUCGAGUAUUUUGAUGAGCACUAUGUAGCUCUUUCAGAGAUGGCUGCCGCGGCAGCUACAGCGGCUGUAGCAGCGGCAGGGGGAGGAGUCGGUAGAGGAUUUCAGUAUCGGGACUUCGAUAAUACGAAGCCCCCUACCUUCGAUGGAACUCAGGACCCGAUUGUUGCUAUGAGAUGGUUGUCAGACGUGGAGGGGUGUUUCUUCACGUGUUCAUGCCCUGCUGAUCAGAGGGGGAGGUGUGCUCUGAACCUUUUGAGGCUCGGGGUGAAGGAUUGGUGGAGGUUGACCACAGGAUCGUAUUCUGAUGCGCAGCGAGCUGCGGUUUCUUGGGAUCAGUUCAGAGAGAUGUUCAGUACUCGCUAUGUUCCGCAAGUUGAGAGGGAGAGAUUAGCUCAGGAGUUCCUGGAGCCGAGGCAGGAUUCCGAGUCGGUGACGGAGAUCACCAGGAUGUUCACUGAGAGGGCGAUGUUUUGCCCAGAGUUUGCUUCGGAGCAGGCUCAGACGUCCCGAUAUCUGAGUAUGCUUAAGAGGGAUAUCAGGCAGUUUGUGUCUACGCAGAGGUGCGAGACCUUAAUAGAGUUGCAGGAGGCCGCUCGGCGGCGUAAGUUGGAGAUUAAGUUGCAGUUGUGAGAGCAGAGGCAGGCCCUGGUGCAGUCGCAGCCGGCGCCGAAACGGUCCAAGACCGUUGAUUCUAGGUUGGGAGAUCAGAGCAGCCGCACUUGUGGGAAGUGCGGGAAGGGUCACACCGGAGUUUUUAGGUCCGGUGGUGCGUGCCGCAAGUGCGGGAGAGAGGGACACUAUGCGAGGGAUUGCCAUCAGUGAGCCCCAGUUCAGGAUAUGGGGAUUUGUUAUCAGUGCCAACAGGUUGGUCACAUGAGGGCCAACUAUCCACAGCUUGCUGCAGGACCGGUGCAGGCUCCCGCAUCGGCCACUUUGAGGAUUACGGGAGGAGGUCAGGGUGGAGCAGAGCCCCCGAGGGCUCAGGGACGUGCUUUUCAGCUUAUAGCAGGGGAGGUCAGGGCAGAGCCAGAGGCAGCUGCGGGUAUGUUUUCAUUUUGUUAUCUUGUGGUUAUUGUGUAGUAUUGCAUAUGCUAGUCUUGUUUGCAUGAUUUAUAAUGUUGUAUUGUUCGCCUUUUCGUCUGGGUUAUCUUUUGGUAGAGGGUUUUAUAGGUAGGAGUUGUAGUUGGUUAGUAUCCAAGGGAUGGAUGGUCAGGAUUGGUUGUGUGGUCUUGUUGUUGGGUAUAGCAUUCACGAUGUGAGAAGUGUUCAGCUGGGAGUCAAACUCCCUUGGGAUUCGAGAUGUACAAUGUCGGGAGAGCAGUUUUGUGAAGGUUACUCGUUCAGAGGAAAGCAGUUUAUGGAUAAGGAAGGUAUGGGAUAGAGAUGAUUGUUCUAGGCUGGAUGAGUCACCGGUAUUUGGACGUCAGUAUUCUAAGUGGGGGAGAGUUGGAAGAUUCUCUAAAGGAUCGACAAGCGUUUGAGUUUGCUUAGCUAUGCGGGAUUCAGCAGUAUUCAGUUAGCCAAGAGUGUGCACUGGUAUGAGUAAGUGGCAGACUAAUGGGGGCAGGGAGCAGACCAUGGAAUCAGGAAAGAUAGUGUUUGAUGUUAGGCCUGGGUUUGGCCAUGGAAAGGAUUUCCGGGAUCGGAACGAGAGUUCGGAACCCCCUAAGGGGAUAGAACAGUAUGAAUGGGAAGGAUUCCCUGGAUGGGUAGUUGGAAUGAUGUAUGAUAGUUGAGCAGACCGGGAAGACUGAAGGCCGAAAGGCGUACCAGUCAGGUCGAAGGCUCGGGAGAACGGUCCAGACAGGUCGAAGGCCCAGAGAGGCGGUCCAGACAUGUUGAAGGUUCUGAGAACGGUCCAGACAGACUGAAGGCCCAGGAGGGCGGUCCAGAAAUGCUGAAAGUUCCGAAAGUGGUCCAGAUAGGCUGAAGGCCUGGAAUGGUGGUCCAGUCAUGCUGAAGACUCUGUACGUAUUAGUGGAUCGGUAUGAGGAGAAUGAGGAAAUGCGUCGCCGGGGAAUGAUGAUUGAUAUGGUCUGGCCCCGGGUGUUGAUCGUGUUGGUGGAAAGCAGUGCAUGGACCCGGGAGUCCUUGCGAGCAUAUUCAGAGUAUACAAAAGUGCAAGGAUAGCAGUUACUCUACAUGGAUAAUGUAGAGUGGAGUAUAGCUCAGUAGCACGUGUAGGUGCAGUAAGGGUUGUUAAGUAGAUUUCCUGAAAAGGAAAGGCAUGUAGCUUUGGAAGGAGCAUGGGCACUCCAAUAGAGGAGGAAGUGGAGAAAGUGGAUUAUCGGCAAUACCUCAGCUAUUGGUAGUAAGUACUGGGAUGGUACCAGGGGUAUGGAAACACAUCCAGACUGGGUGUCUGUUGAGGUUACGGAUGGAUUUCCGGUAAUGUAGAACUAGAGGAGUUAGUAAGGGAUGCAAGGAGGGAGCCUUGUAUUUUUGGUAUGGUUGUGAUCAGGAGGUUAUGUAUGUAGCAGUAAUUCAUCAUGGGGAUGUCUAGAGGUAUAGUCAGUGUGCCGGGUUUUCCAGCCCGAGGAUGUUGGAUCAGGUUCAGCAUGUGUACACGAUUGUGGAAGAGAGCUCAUGAGAGUGCUCGGGAGCUGAGGGAUGUAUCAUCAUGUCAGCAUGAAAAGAGUAGAGUCGAAUUCGGAAAGGAAGAGGGAUAAGUCCCAGCAGUGAACUCGAUAAGGUCGUGUUAAUCAAGGCAAAAGAUAGCAGUUGGUAGCAGUGAGUACCUGGUCAGAACUCAAUGGUUCAGGGUGUUAUCUAGUCUCGUGAGAGGCGCGUCUAUAUGGAGAUCAGGUGAGAUAAGUGUCGCUAUCAGAGGAAAGAGCCGGUGGUCGGUCUGAGACAGUUGAUAUGAAUCGGUAAGCAAGGAGUUGGAUCAUUUUAGGGAUGAUAGCAGUGAUUGGAGGGAUCUGAGUCAGUAGAGAUCCGAGGUUGUAGUGUGGGGUUAUGGUUAUUGGAAUUAUGUGAUGCAGCAGGCUUCGAGGACGAAGCCUAAUUUAAGUGGGGGAGAACUGUAACACCCUGAGUUCAGAAGAGCAAAGUUCAGGGUGCUUAGUGUAGAUAUGGAAGACCGACUCGNCAAUGGGUAGACUCGGCGAGCCGAGUCGUCGCGAAUCUGGUCAUGUGUUAAGUGACCAACUCGUCGAGUCGGAGGUUGGACUCAGCGAGUUGGUGCUGAAGAGAGAAAAAACCUAAUCUUUGGGGUUGCACCCUAUUUAAAGGACUUGAUGCCCUCCCCUCAGUCUCCUUAGCCUCUUUUGAAGUCCAGAAACCCUAAAUCCGUUUGUGAGUGCAUUGGAGAGCAUUUGGAACCUUGAUAAGUGCUUGGUGAAGAGAUCUUUGAAGAUUAAGAGGCUUGGAGCAAGGGGCUUUACANGGCUUAUUCUCUGUUGGAGUCUUCUCUUGAGGUAAUGAUUCGUUGCUUGAGCUGUUAUCCAUCUAGAUCAAUCAUUUGUGGGAUUUUUGGGAGUAUAGCAAUCUUGAGUUUGGAGGUUGGAUCUAAGGUUGCUACCUCAGAUCUAGAGUAGUGAUGAUCCAAAAGAGCAUAAAGUCUCUGUUCAAGAGUUGUUGAUGAAGCCUUUUUGUCCCAAACCCUAGCCCUAGAGUGUAUUAUGCUUAGAUCUCCUUGGAUUCACGUAAUGUUUGCCACUUUACAUGAUGGAUGGCUUGUAUAAGAGUAGAUCUAUGGAUUAGAGACCCUGCAUGGCUUGGAAAGCCUCUAUAUGGGUUAAGAGCUAGUGGUACUCGGCGAGUGACAUGGGUGUACUCGGCGAGUUGCAUGAAGAUAGGCAGCAACUUGACGAGUUGGAAGAACAACUUGGCGAGUUGGUUGAAGAUAGCCUUGGACUCGGCGAGUCUAUUCUUGGACUCGGCGAGUCUGGUCGUGAGGUCCUAACCUUUCCUGGUUGAGUUGUGAAUCGGUGAGUCAAGGAAUGACUCAGUGAGUUGAGUGCAAUUAGACUCAGAGUAGUGGGACUCGGCGAGUCUUGGGGAGACUCGGCGAGUUGAGUCGUGUUAUGGGAGUUUCAGAGCAUAGGGACUCGACGAGUCAGUGGGGUGACUCGGCGAGUAGAGAUAGUCUUGUGUUGACCAGUUGACUUCCCAGGAUAAUUUGGUAAUUAUUGGUAUUUAUUGAGUUUAGUCUUUUGGUAUUAUCAGUGGUGGAGUUCGUGUCGGAGGUUGGAGCAGCGUGAUCUUAUCU